AUUCCUACGGCAGGCAGCAGGGGGGAAUAUUGGACAAUGGGCCACAAGCCUGAUCCAGCAAUUCUGUGUGCACGAUGAAGGUCUCCGGAUUGUAAAGUGCUUUCAGUUGGGAAGAAGAAAGUGACGGUACCAACAGAAGAAGCGACGGCUAAAUACGUGCCAGCAGCCGCGGUAAUAAU
rnacentral:rRNA from 1 species